rnacentral:rRNA from 1 species
GACGAACGCUGGCGGCGCGCCUAAUACAUGCAAGUCGAGCGAGAAGACGUAGCAAUACGUUUGUAAAGCGGCGAACGGGUGAGGAAUACAUGGGUAACCUACCCUCGAGUGGGGAAUAACUAGCCGAAAGGUUAGCUAAUACCGCGUACGCUCCUUGGACUUCGGUUCAGGGAGGAAAGCGAUACCGUGGGUAUCGCGCUCUUGGAUGGGCUCAUGUCCUAUCAGCUUGUUGGUGAGGAACGGCUCACCAAGGCUUCGACGGGUAGCUGGUCUGAGAGGACGAUCAGCCACACUGGCACUGCGACACGGCCCAGACUCCUACGGGAGGCAGCAGUGGGGAAUAUUGGACAAUGGGCGCAAGCCUGAUCCAGCGAUGCCGCGUGGGUGAAGAAGGCCCUAGGGUUGUAAAACCCCUUUCAGCGGGGAAGAUAAUGACGGUACCCGCAGAAGAAGUCCCGGCUAACUCCGUGCCAGCCGCCGCCGUAAG